GAUGAACGCUGGCGGCGUGCCUAAUACAUGCAAGUCGAGCGAACGGACGAGAAGCUUGCUUUUCUGAUGUUAGCGGCGGACGGGUGAGUAACACGUGGAUAACCUACCUAUAAGACUGGGAUAACUUCGGGAAACCGGAGCUAAUACCGGAUAAUAUUUUGAACCGCAUGGUUCAAAAGUGAAAGACGGUCUUGCUGUCACUUAUAGAUGGAUCCGCGCUGCAUUAGCUAGUUGGUAAGGUAACGGCUUACCAAGGCAACGAUGCAUAGCCGACCUGAGAGGGUGAUCGGCCACACUGGGACUGAGACACGGUCCAGACUCCUACGGGAGGCAGCAGUAGGGAAUCUUCCGCAAUGGGCGAAAGCCUGACGGAGCAACGCCGCGUGGGUGAUGAAGGUCUUCGGAUCGUAAAACUCUGUUAUUAGGGAAGAACAUAUGUGUAAGUAACUGUGCACAUCUUGACGGUACCUAAUCAGAAAGCCACGGCUAACUACGUG
rnacentral:rRNA from 1 species